rnacentral:lncRNA from 1 species
GCAAGACUUUAUGUAUAUGGUAAAAGGUGUGGUACUGCAUGCUUUUAAUUUUAGCACUGGGGAAUCAGAGGCAGGUAGAUCUCCUUGAGUUUAAAGUCAAACUAGAUUAUGGAGCAAGAUACAGGACAUCCAGGGCUACAUAUCAAACCUCUGUCUCAAAAAGCUAAAAUCAAAACAUGCUCCCCCACAAAAUUAAAAAUGAUCAGAAAAACACACACACACUCAUACACACACACACACACCAAAACAAAACAAAAUAAAAAUAUGAGAAGAGCCAGUCACCCUCAGUACUAGUGUUCACUAUUUAGAAGCAAUAAUUGCACUGAUAUUCUUUAUAUCUUUUUCUAAACCAAAAUGCUUAACUUAUCUAUUAUACCCCUAAUAUUUUUAAGAAGUCUCUAUAAAUCUAAGCUAUAUUGAUAGAUAUAAAACUGAAAAUAUAAAAAGUAUUUUAAUACUCUAAAUUUUACCACUGACCACUUAAGAGAAAAUGUAGGAUCCUUACUGCUCUGGAUAAAUCUUCCUAGUGGGUAGACAAAAGUGGAGAUCAACAGAUCACCAACCUCACAUGCAGACAAGCCUGCUGGGGAAACAUGGAGACUUGAAACACAAGGAAUGACUGAAAGCAAGUGUGGCAAACUGAAUAAGAAAGACCUCAUGUAGUCCUUGGCAUUUGAGUAUGUGUUCCCCAGUCCAUGGUCCUGUUUAGGAAGCAGAUGGUACCCUUGGCCUUCUGCCAAUCACCUUUGGAAAGAAGCUUUGAGAUUUAAAUCCUCCAGUCACUUUCAAAUCAAUCUCUGCCAAUUGUUCAAGAUUUGAGACAAACCUGGAGUGGUCCUCUGCCUCAGCCACAAAGGUACAAGAGAUGGCACCCACUCUGAACUUGUUUAUUUUGUCCACAAUGGGCUCUCUUCUUUUCUAAUAUUUGAUAAUCUUGUCUUUAUUUUGAAAUGUGCCUUUCCAAAUAUAGUAUCUCACAUAUAGGUAACCAUACAGAUGUUAUAUUUAGCAUUUUAUAAAUCCUAUAUAAUUUUAUAAAUAUUGCAAACAUUCAACAAUAUUUUGACUUAUGAAUGAGUGAAGACCUUUUAAGUAAAAAAAAAAAAAAAUCUUAAAACUAACUCCUUUAUUUCAUUUAAGCGUUUACCACAGGAAACAGGAACUGAAUAAAUAUAGAUGUGGCUCAAAUAGUUAACUGUACCAGCUCCAGGUCACAUUGGGCACAAACUUAGCAGACUGCCCUACAGUCCCCAAAGGACUCUCCACUCGAUCUUAGGAUCACUGGUGAGUAGAAAACAACAUCGGGUCCAAUCCAAUCACACCAGGCCUGAGCCAACAGCAAGGAAGCAGAAAACCUGCCUGACAAGGGGCACAAGUCCUUUCUGGUUGGGGCCAGCUCUGGGUCACCUUGGGCACAAACUUGGCGGAUGGCCCCAUGGUCCUCAGAGGACUAUUCACUUGAUCUUUAGGAUCAUUGGUGAGCAGAACACGACAUUGGGAGCCAAUGCAAUUGUGACAGGCCUGUGAAAGCAGAAGCAAGGACACAGGAACCGGGCCUGAUAAGGUGCUCGGGUUCCUUCUGAUCAGUGCUGGUUUACCUUGGUUUCAAACACACCAGACAGUCCCAAGAUCCUCAAAGAAGAUACCAGUUCCAGUUCCAGGCACUGCAACAUGCCCAGGAUCUUAGGAUCCCAGGAUGACAGGAGCUUGUUCACACCAGGAUCUCAGGGUCUCAGAGGAAACUUGACUGCCAAGAACUCUGACACACCCAAAAUCUCAGGUUCACAGGAGCCCAGAAUAACAGGAUCACAGAGAAAGCUGGACUCUGAGGCAUCCUGAAUUAACUGGGAUUAUAGGAAGGACAGGCUCAAAUUAGAUAUAUCGAGGGCAGCAAGCACUUGAGAUACUCAGAUGGCAGGAGGCAAGCAUAAGAACAGAAGCAAGAGAAACUAAGGUCACUUGUCAUCAUCAGAACCAAACUCUUCCACCAUAGCAAGUCCUGGAUACACCAUCACACCAGAAAAGCAAGACAUGGAUUUAAAGUCACUUCUCAUGAUGAUGAAGGAGGACUUUAAGAAGGAAAAACAGGAAAACACAGGUAAACAGCUAGAAACCCUUAAAGAGGAAAGAAAAAAAUCCCUUAAAGAGUUAAAAAAGAUAAUAUCAAACAGGUGAGAGAAUUGAACAAAACCAUCCAGGAAGUAAAAAUGGAAGU